UUCAUUCUCCUCUCACUGUUGUGCAACUUCUCAAUCACAAACCCAAGGUUACAAUUUCAUCUCCAUCUCUCGACUUCAUCAUAUCAAUCAAGAAAAAAUGCUUCUGAUUUCAAUUCAUCUGCUUCAUCUCUGCUGUGAUUUGACCUGCUUCAUCUCUGUUGUUCUUGAGAAUACUCGCCAACAGUGUUCUUGCAUUAUUCCUUGACCUGCUUCUUUAGUGUGUUCUGUUCAGAUGUAUAGGCAUCGAUGAAACAAGGAAUUGUGAUAUGGAAGGCCACCCAAGUAUUAACUCUUCAAGAUUCAUACUGCCAACACCACAACAAAUACAUUCUCACACGCUUUCUCAAAAAAUCCAAUCCUUGCAGCCCCCAACACCCCAUCUACAUCGGACCACCAACACCACCACAAACAAAGUCGUCAUCAAAUUAGGGCUUGCUACCCGACCCAUUUUUGGAGUCUUUUGAAUGGCUACACAAUGUAUUGGAGUCGCAACUUGAAGCACCAUUAGGAACCACCAUUGAUUCAAAAUAAUACUCGCUCAUGGUUCGACAGUUUGGCAGAUUGAGACGAGCACAAGGACCAUACAUGACUCGGGCAACUUCAUCAUAAGCUAGGGCAGCUUCAACUGCUGACCCGAAAGUUCCAAGCCAUAAUCGACUACAUCUAUUGGUUUCUCGAAUCUCAGCUACCCAAUUACCCCAUGUUCGUCUGAAAUUACACCUCGAGUUCUCAAGUCCUCCUUUACAUUUCAUGCGAAAUUCAAUUUUAUCUACUGGGUUUAUUUUCAUUAAACUAAAUAAAAAAAGCAAAAUUCAAUUUUAUCUAUUAGGUUUAUUUUCAUUCCAAUUUCCAUUGAACAGGUCGGUAGUUUCUCCAUUUAUCUCUUCUAUUUCAGUUUUUCUCAAAUUAGGGCUUACCAACUGUAUGAUGAAAUGCCUAAGAGAAAAAUUCCAACCAAAAGUGCAUUUUGAUUCCCUUUCAAACACUUCAACUAACUGACCAUAUUACCCUUGUGGUAGUUACCUUUUGUAUCAUUAGUGAACUGAACUUGGUUCUCUGUAAUGUGCAGACAAGGCAAAAUGCUCUCUUUUCUGUACUAAGUAGGAUGUUCA